AAUCUGCCGCCGGCUGAGUUCCUGCUACCUUUUUCCUCUAGCCGACGACAGCCACUUGAGUAGCGCCGGCCACCCCCGAUCGCCGGCACUCGAGUACCACUGUUUGGGUUCUUAUGUGCCCUAGCUUCUGCCGCCGACGACUAGAGCCACCGCCGAUCGCUCUGUGCCCUUCUACUUCUCUGCUGCCACUCUAACCGGAGCCGAGACCUUCUCACAGCAGUGCUGCCGGCCGGAAAUCCUCUGUGCCCUAGCUGUGAGCAUUUCUUCCUCCUCAGAGCAGUGGUGAUACGGUAUUGUGACAGAAAGAUCCUUGGUACAACAGAUCGGCGAUAUUAGAGUUGCCCUAUUCCGGCAGCCACUUUUUGUAGCAAUCGACAGCACCUUUCCUGCCUGUUGAAUUAAGGACUUUGAUUCGAGACGAGCAUCUCGACGUCCGAGUUGGACCAUUUCGAUUGGAGGCGGG